rnacentral:rRNA from 1 species
UACAGAGGUGGCAAGCGUUGUUCGGAAUUACUGGGCGUAAAGGGCGCGUAGGCGGCCCGCUAAGUCGAACGUGAAAUCCCCGGGCUCAACCCGGGAACUGCGUCCGAUACUGGCAGGCUUGAAUCCGGGAGAGGGAUGCGGAAUUCCAGGUGUAGCGGUGAAAUGCGUAGAUAUCUGGAGGAACACCGGUGGCGAAGGCGGCGUUCUGGACUGUAACUGACACUGAGAAACGAAAGCCAGGGUAGCAAACGGG